GAUGAACGCUGGCGGCGUGCCUAACACAUGCAAGUCGAACGGAAAGGCCCUGCUUUUGUGGGGUUCUCGAGUGGCGAACGGGUGAGUAACACGUGUGUAACCUGCCCUUGUCUUUGGGAUAACUUCAGGAAACUGGGGCUAAUAUCGGAUAGGAGCUCCUGCUGCAUGGUGGGGGUUGGAAAGUUUCGGCUGUUGGGGAUGGACUCGCGGGUUAUCAGCUUGUUGGUGGGGUAGUUGCUUACCAAGGCUUUGACGGGUAGCCGGCCUGAGAGGGUGGACGGCCACAUUGGGACUGAGGUACGGCCCAGACUCCUACGGGAGGCAGCAGUGGGAAAUAUUACACAAUGGGCGGACGCCUGAUGCAGCGACGCCGCGUGCGGGAUGACGGCCUUCGGGUUGUAAACAGCUUUCGCCUGUGACGAAGCGGGAGUGACGGUAAUGGGUAAAGAAGCACCGGCUAACUACGUG
rnacentral:rRNA from 1 species